rnacentral:sRNA from 1 species
GGCACAAUUGUGGCUGUGGACAGACGCUC